rnacentral:lncRNA from 1 species
UUGAUUUUGGGGUUUUGGAAGUGUUGAAACGGUCAUUUCUGAUGUAUUCUUGCAACACAAUAGGGUAGUUUUGGCUUGCGGAAGUUACCGCCGGAAGGGACGCUGGAGUCGGAAUGGUAGACGUCGGCGUUGAGGGUAGACGGUGGCCUUGAGGAGAGGAAAAGAGUAUUAUGUGGCAUUUAAUUUUUCUUUUUUUUUAUUUUUUCAAUUUUUAAAAUCUUAUGUGGCGUCCAUGUCAUUCAUUAAAC